GAUGAAGAACGCAGCGAAAUGCGAUAAGUAAUGUGAAUUGCAGAAUUCAGUGAAUCAUCGAAUCUUUGAACGCACAUUGCGCCCGCCAGUAUUCUGGCGGGCAUGCCUGUUCGAGCGUCAUUUCAACCAUCAAGCCCCCGGCUUGUGUUGGGGACCUGCGGCUGCCGCAGGCCCUGAAAACCAGUGGCGGGCUCGCUAGUCACUCCGAGCGUAGUAAUACAUCUCGCUCAGGGCGUGCUGCGGGUUCCGGCCGUUAAAAAGCCUUAUUUACCCAAGGUUGACCUCGGAUCAGGUAGGAAGACCCGCUGAAUUUAAGCAUAUCAAUAAGCGGAGGA
rnacentral:misc_RNA from 1 species